AGAGCGAACGCUGGCGGCAGGCCUAACACAUGCAAGUCGAGCGCCCCGCAAGGGGAGCGGCAGACGGGAGAGUAACACGUGGGAACGUACCCUUUGGUUCGGAACAACACAGGGAAACUUGUGCUAAUACCGGAUAAGCCCUUACGGGGAAAGAUUUAUCGCCAAAGGAUCGGCCCGCGUCUGAUUAGCUUGUUGGUGAGGUAACGGCUCACCAAGGCUACGAUCAGUAGCUGGUCUGAGAGGAUGAUCAGCCUCACUGGGACUGAGACACGGCCCAGACUCCUACGGGAGGCAGCAGUGGGGAAUAUUGGACAAUGGGCGCAAGCCUGAUCCAGCCAUGCCGCGUGGAUGAUGAAGGCCCUAGGGUUGUAAAGUCCUUUCGACGGGGAAGAUAAUGACGGUACCCGUAGAAGAACGCCCGGCUAACUUCGUGCCAGCAGCCGC
rnacentral:rRNA from 1 species